rnacentral:rRNA from 1 species
GACGAACGCUGGCGGCGUGCCUAAUACAUGCAAGUCGAACGCAGGGGGGACGGGUGAUUAACACGUGGGUAACCUCCCAUCAGAGGGGAUAACACUUGGAAACAGGUGCUAACACGAUAUUGAUGGAUGGACCCGCGGUGCAUUAGCCAGUUGGUGAGGAAACGGCGCACCAAGGCGACGAUGCAUAGCCGACCGGAGAGGGUGAUCGGCCACACUGGGACUGAGACACGGCCCAGACUCCUACGGGAGGCAGCAGUAGGGAAUCUUCGGCAAUGGACGAAAGUCUGACCGAGCAACGCCGCGUGAGUGAAGAAGGUUUUCGGAUCGUAAAACUCUGUUGUUAGAGAAGCGGUAUCUAACCAGAAAGCCACGGCUAACUACGUGCCAGCAGCCGCGGUAAUUC